rnacentral:SRP_RNA from 1 species
UCCAGGCACAGUGGCGUGUGCCUGUAGUCCCAGCUACUCGGGAGGCUGAGGUGGGAGGAUCGCUUGAGCCCAGGAGUUCUGGGCUGCAAUGCGCUAUGCCAGUCGGGUGUCCGCACUAAGUUCGGCAUCAAUAUGGUGACCUCCCGAGAGUGGGGAACCACCAGUUUGCCUGAGGAGGGGUGAACCGGCCCAAGUCCGAAGCGGAGCAGGUCAAAACUCCUGUGCUGAUCAGUAGUGGGAUUGCGCCUGUGAAUAGCCACUGCACUCCAGCCUGGGCAAUAUUGAUACCCUUUCUCU